UCGCAUUUUUUACUUUUCUUAUUAAGAUCCUAUUACAUUGUUUUCUGAAGUUUAAUUUCUUGAAAUAUUUUGGCUCAUGUGGAGGCACAUUGUGUAUUUUGAACAUGUUAUUGUAACUAUCAUUAUAAUUGUAUGUAAUAUAAUAAAUGGAAUAUGAGUUAUGUUGGCUGAGUUCUUUAAAGCCGUUUAUGUUUUCAUUUAAGCGAGCAUUAGGACAGCCGGUCCGCAUAUUUUUGCUUAAUCCGCUUAAUAAUAUAAGCAUAAAAUUAUCUGUAUUGAUUAAGAUUGUGAACCGUAAUUAUUUAAACAUGUUAUCAUUUUGUGACGCGCUCAGCUAUUUGUAGCCUCAUUGAGUUUUUAAUCAUUGUGAAAAAAACGCUUGCAAAAUCAUAAGAGGUUUGAUGUCUUUAUUUACGUUUUCCUUUCCUUUUAACAUUUUCAAAGCUUUCCUGGAAAAUCUAUUUUUAGAAAAUAAGUAUUUUGUUUACAGUCAGGUCACACAUUUAUGAAAGAAGUGAAACGUAUAUUCUUUACAUCAGUUCUAUGUUACUGCAAAGUUGGAGGUGUAAAUAAAUAUUAAGCUACAUGCACUGUUGUUCUCGAAAAUCUAUAUUUAGAAUAAUGCACUGUGUCAGGUCACACAUUCAUGAAAGUAGUGAAACGAAAGAUCUGUACGUCAUUAUGUUACUGCAAAGUUGGAUGUUUAAAUAAAGAUUAAGGUUGUGUAGUUUGGUAUCAGAAUUAUUAGACGUAUUGCUUGUAGGACAUUGACGGCAGGAACUUGAAAUUAACUGUGGAGUGCUACCAAAAUUGCCUCCACUGGCGGUA